GGACAAAGCUAUAAAUUUAAAGCAUUUGGUUACUUGUUCUUUUAGAAUUCUAGAAAUAAUACAUGCCUCUUCCCCACUCCAGGACACAUGUGCACACACAUGUGCACGCACACACACAACUAGUGAUGAAGACCCACAUCCGGGAGGUCAGAAUAGGAAAGAUGUGGACUCCCUUAAGGAUUCAGGUAAAAUGGAGGGAAAGGUUGGUCAGGACAGAGUGAUGAAGAAUUAAGUCAUUAUGGGGAAAUGAACUGUCAUCUAGCUUCACAGAAAAAUAAAACGCUUUUCUUUUCCACAUUAAAACUGAAGAACAUAUGCCUUCUUACUCUACUUGAAA
rnacentral:lncRNA from 1 species